rnacentral:misc_RNA from 1 species
CUUAACAAUUUUUCUUUGAAUAUUUUUUGAGAAAAUAGGAAAAAGAAACUAGGAAAAAAAUUUUGUUACCAAGAAAAUUUUUCUUAUUGGGGGACAUUUUUGGAAUUUCACAUGCAUUUUAAACCCUUGAUGACUUUUUUAAGACUUGACUAAUGAAGAAGUGGACCAAGGGACUAAAUGGUUCACUGAAUCAAAUGUCAAGGGAACAAUUAGUUCGAUUUUCAAAUAGCAAGGACUUGGUAGUAAUUAUGACCUAAUCACAGUCAAAAAAUACUUAUUUACCCUUUGAAUUAAUUAAAUAAAAUAAACAAAUGGAAUAAAAUCUAUAUUAGAUAUACAUAC